AGAUUGAACGCUGGCGGCAGGCCUGACACAUGCAAGUCGAGCGGUAGAGAGGUGCUUGCAUCUCUUGAGAGCGGCGGACGGGUGAGUAAUGCCUAGGAAUCUGCCUAGUGGUGGGGGAUAACGUUCGGAAACGGGCGCUAAUACCGCAUACGUCCUACGGGAGAAAGCGGGGGACCUUCGGGCCUCGCGCCAUUAGAUGAGCCUAGGUCGGAUUAGCUAGUUGGUGAGGUAAUGGCUCACCAAGGCGACGAUCCGUAACUGGUCUGAGAGGAUGAUCAGUCACACUGGAACUGAGACACGGUCCAGACUCCUACGGGAGGCAGCAGUGGGGAAUAUUGGACAAUGGGCGAAAGCCUGAUCCAGCCAUGCCGCGUGUGUGAAGAAGGUCUUCGGAUUGUAAAGCAACUUUAAGUGGAGGAAGGUUGUAACCUAAUACGUUGCAACUUUGACGUUACCGACAGAAUAAGCAACCGCUAACUUCGUGCCAGCAGCCG
rnacentral:rRNA from 1 species